GCGGAUGGGUGGUGUAUAAGCCACGCUGGUUCCGGGGUCCCCCUAUAUAUACCUUGGUACCGCCUUGUUUUAAUUCUCUCAGCUCAGGCGCCGCAUGGAGUAGGCAAGGUGAUCCCUGCUGCCUGGGAGAUGUAUGGGGCACCCUGCACCACGUGGCUGAAUCUCCAGCUCAAGAUUGGAUUGCUUUACUUAAUCCCCUAAUGAAGUUCUAUAGUAGGAAUCUUUUAUAUUUAAGUAAUAAUUAUAAUCUUUAAUAGAUAAUGUUAUGUUAUGUGACUGAUAAUGUUAUGGUAAGUCUUGAAAUAACCCCCUCCCCUGCCGCUUUGGUGCUGUGCACGUGGGAAUAGUUUAGCACACAUGGGCCAGGUAGUUGCCCUGAAGCUGCCAUUUUGCUUCUUAGUUCAGCCAUUCUCCCCAGAAAACAUAAAUAGUGGACAAACCCUCUGCAUAAUGAGCUGCCCCUUGUAACAAAGGCUCCACCCGGGGUCAUUUAUACAGGGGUCGUUGUCUACAUUUCAACAAAUUAAAGUUUAUAGGGGGACAUUCAGUGAUUCAUAUGAGCAAUAAAAUAGCUGAUGUCACUUAUUAGAAUACAGUUUGGACAUAGGUCCUAUUUAUAGUCCUUACAUUGAGCAAAGGUAUAUAUACUGUGCAUGUAGUAUGGCAUACCUUAUUUGUACCCAGCAGUGCGGAGUCUGACUAUAGUGACAGUUUAAUAAAUUCUCUGUAGACAGAAUGAUUUCACUACUAAGUUAUUCUAUGGAUUGUAUUUGAACCAGCCGACAGUGGUCUGUGCUUUGUUUUAAAUAAAGAUCCAUUUCAUUAA